rnacentral:rRNA from 1 species
AGUGAACGCUGGCGGUAGGCCUAACACAUGCAAGUCGAACGGCAGCACAGUAAGAGCUUGCUCUUACGGGUGGCGAGUGGCGGACGGGUGAGGAAUACAUCGGAAUCUACUUUUUCGUGGGGGAUAACGUAGGGAAACUUACGCUAAUAUCGCAUACGACCUUCGGGUGAAAGCAGGGGAUCUUCGCACCUUGCGGGAUUGAAUGAGCCGAUGUCGGAUUUGCUAGUUGGGGGGGUAAAGGCCCACCAAGGCGACGAUCCGUAGCUGGUCUGAGAGGAUGAUCAGCCACACUGGAACGGAGACACGGUCCAGACGCCUACGGUAGGCAGCAGUGGGGAAUAUUGGACAAUGGGCGCAAGCCUGAUCCAGCCAUACCGCGUGGGUGAAGAAGGCCUUCGGGUUGUAAAGCCCUUUUGUUGGGAAAGAAAAGCAGCAGGUUAAUACCCCGCUGUUCUGACGGUACCCAAAGAAUAAGCACCGGCUAACUUCGUG